UGGGAUCAUUCGUCAUUGCCUCGAGCUAGCAGAGAUCGUGUUGGAGAUGGAAGCCAAUUCUUACAAUUCGUCUUGGAGAGGGAAACUUGAAGCUUGGCUCUGCAUAAAUAGCGGGUUGCAUGCCUGUGAUGCUGUAGUUACGAACUGGGUUCAAUUCCUCAUUACGGCACUCGAUCGAUUAGUUGGUGAGCAAGAACUAAAAGCUGCUGCAACUUUUCGACUGGUUUUGGACAUUCCUCCAUAAUUCAAGUUCCAGAAAUUAAAGGUGAGGCUGUUUGCUUUAUGUUUUGCCUUUAUCCACCGCUUCCAUUAAACUCGCUGCAUUUUGAGUUUGUAAUUGCCACCACGUCAGUCCCAUAGAAACCAUAUAAUUAAACUUGCCAUCCAUAGCUUUGCCUCUAACCAUGUAUAGGAACAAUGGAAGUUUGACUUCAUUUGAUCACACCACCGAGUCGAAAUGACUACUCCCAGUUUUGUCUUAAUUGUCAAUAUCAAGGGUGAGGCCUUGUGCUAUUUUGUUUCACAUUUUGGUUGUGGUAGUUUAGGCUAUGUAUUUCUUUUUGGAAGUGGUGGUGAAUGAAAAACAGAAGUAGGGGUCUUAUGCGAUCGGUAUUGCCGAAUUUAAAGGAGGUGGAUAUGGCGUCUUGUGGUGGAAGGAGAAAAACAAGGCAGGAAGCUAGUUUGAAGGCAGUGGAUGUAUUGCAUAGGUUGUAAUAUCGAAACUCGGCCGUUCAUGAACGACCCUAUGUUCCAAUAUUUAAAACCCCAGCAGUCGUGUUGCAUUAAGACGUCGGCCGUUCAUGAACGACCACGUUAGUCUUAAUUCAAGAGAAGAUUGUUCGGCCGUUUUUGAACGACCAUGGUUGUCUCAAAAGGGUGUUGGUUGUUCAUGAACAGCCCCCUUUUGCCUUGAAGAAAACCUGUUAAUUCCCUGCCGAAGCAAGCAAGAGCAGCAUGAUCCAGUGUAUACCUUAACUUCUCCCUUCGAGCUGCUUUGAUUUCGCUCUCUGUUUUGGCAGAGUCUUGGCCUCUUGUUUUCUGAAUAUUUUUCUCCUCCCUCUCCGUGUGUUUCUCUUCGGUGUUGCUGCCUAUAUAUCGUGGUCAAUGAAUAGGUGUAACCGGAUAGUGAUAACCACUUUGUAUUUUGCAUUUAAAUUUGAAUAACAAGUCUAUCCUUAUCACUUGUUA